rnacentral:rRNA from 1 species
GCACCGCUGGUGUACCAGUUAUUGUACCAACAGUAAACGCUGGGUAGCCAAGUGCGGAGAGGAUAACCGCUGAAAGCAUCUAAGUGGGAAGCCCACCUCAAGAUGAGUACUCUCACUACGAUAAGUAGGUAAGGUCACGGGCAGAACACCCGUUAAUAGGCUCUAUGUGGAAGUACAGUAAUGUAUGUAGCAAAGGGGUACUAAUAGACCGAGGGCUUGACCUC